CCUACGGGAGGCAGCAGUGGGGAAUUUUGGACAAUGGGCGAAAGCCUGAUCCAGCCAUGCCGCGUGCGGGAAGAAGGCCUUCGGGUUGUAAACCGCUUUUGUCAGGGAAGAAAUCCUUUGAGUUAAUACCUCGGGGGGAUGACGGUACCUGAAGAAUAAGCACCGGCUAACUACGUGCCAGCAGCCGCGGUAAUACGUAGGGUGCGAGCGUUAAUCGGAAUUACUGGGCGUAAAGCGUGCGCAGGCGGUUAUGCAAGACAGAUGUGAAAUCCCCGGGCUCAACCUGGGAACUGCAUUUGUGACUGCAUAGCUAGAGUACGGUAGAGGGGGAUGGAAUUCCGCGUGUAGCAGUGAAAUGCGUAGAUAUGCGGAGGAACACCGAUGGCGAAGGCAAUCCCCUGGACCUGUACUGACGCUCAUGCACGAAAGCGUGGGGAGCAAACAGGAUUAGAUACCCUGGUAGUCCACGCCCUAAACGAUGUCAACUGGUUGUUGGACGGCUUGCUGUUCAGUAACGAAGCUAACGCGUGAAGUUGACCGCCUGGGGAGUACGGCCGCAAGGUUGAAACGUCAAAGGAUUGACGGCGNGAGAGNGCGACGACGACGACGAGGGAGGAGG
rnacentral:rRNA from 1 species